rnacentral:rRNA from 1 species
GAUGAACGCUGGCGGCGUGCCUAAUACAUGCAAGUCGAACGCUGGAGCUCUAGCUUGCUAGAUCGAAGGAGUGGCGAACGGGUGAGUAAUACAUAAGCAACCUACCCACGAAGACUGGGAUAAUCUCUGGAAACGGGGACUAAUACCGGAUAGGUAAUCGGAAGGCAUCUUCUGGUUAUUAAAGGUUAAAAACACUGGUGGAUGGGCUUAUGGCGCAUUAGUUAGUUGGUGAGGUAACGGCCCACCAAGACGAUGAUGCGUAGCCGGCCUGAGAGGGUGAACGGCCACAUUGGGACUGAGACACGGCCCAGACUCCUACGGGAGGCAGCAGUAGGGAAGUUUCGGCAAUGGGGGCAACCCUGACCGAGCAACGCCGCGUGAGUGAAGACGGCCUUCGGGUUGUAAAGCUCUGUUGUAAGGGAAGAACGGUAGAUAGAGAAUAUCUAAGUGACGGUACCUUACCAGAAAGCCACGGCUAACUACGUG